rnacentral:rRNA from 1 species
AACGAACGCUGGCGGCAUGCCUAACACAUGCAAGUCGAACGAGACCUUCGGGUCUAGUGGCGCACGGGUGCGUAACGCGUGGGAACCUGCCCUUAGGUUCGGAAUAACUCCCGAAAGGGGUGCUAAUACCGGAUAAUGUCUUCGGACCAAAGAUUUAUCGCCUUUGGAUGGGCCCGCGUUGGAUUAGCUAGUUGGUAGGGUAAAAGCCUACCAAGGCGACGAUCCAUAGCUGGUCUGAGUGGAUGAUCAGCCACACUGGGACUGAGACACGGCCCAGACUCCUACGGGAGGCAGCAGUGGGGAAUAUUGGACAAUGGGCGAAAGCCUGAUCCAGCAAUGCCGCGUGAGUGAUGAAGGCCUUAGGGUUGUAAAGCUCUUUUACCCGGGAUGAUAAUGACAGUACCGGGAGAAUAAGCUCCGGCUAACUCCGUG